rnacentral:rRNA from 1 species
GUCUACAGCCAUACCACCCUGAACACGCCCGAUCUCAUCUGAUCUCAGAAGCUAAGCAGGGUUGGGCCUGGUUAGUACUUGGAUGGGAAAAAUACAUUUGGAAUUUUCCCUAAGAUGACUGGAAUAUCACUAAACA